rnacentral:tRNA from 1 species
GCCGGGGUGGCGGAGCGGUCGAACGCGCCGGACUUGAGAUCCGGUGCCCGUAAGGGUUCGUGGGUUCGAAUCCCACCCCCGGCG